rnacentral:rRNA from 1 species
AUGGUAUUUUUGCUUGUCCCCCUCGCCAGCCCAGUAAAAUCUGGACUGAUAUUUGGCCACCUCCUGGUGAAGCGUCUCAUGGAGUCUAUAGAAGCUCAUGAGGAACCAGAGAAGGCUAGCCAGCGAGGAGUUGAUGAGGAUUACCCGCGCCGCCUUCGAGAGCCACCGGCGAAGGAAAAUCAUCCGUUGAGCCGUCCAAUGCCAAGUUCUCAAGCGGAAGGAGAACAUCCGUCAAGCCGUCCAUCGCCUGAGCCGACUACACCAGAGGUGCUAAAGGCGUCCGAUCCAACUCAGGUGGAGGCCAAGGAGGUUCGGCUCUCGGACAUUGCACCAAUAACGCUGGAUGAUACCGACGUGCGGACUGUAAGUUUCAUAUAUUCAGAUUGGGGCAUGUCUUCCUGUUAUUUUGCCGUCAAAGCUGAAAAAGAGUGA